UACGUAGGGGGCUAGCGUUGUCCGGAUUUAUUGGGCGUAAAGAGCGUGUAGGCGGCCAGGUAGGUCUGCUGUGAAAACUCGAGGCUCAACCUCGAGACGUCGGCGGAAACCAUCUGGCUAGAGUCCGGAAGAGGAGAGUGGAAUUCCUGGUGUAGCGGUGAAAUGCGCAGAUAUCAGGAAGAACACCCGUGGCGAAGGCGGCUCUCUGGGCCGUAACUGACGCUGAGGAGCGAAAGCGUGGGGAGCGAACAGG
rnacentral:rRNA from 1 species